rnacentral:ribozyme from 1 species
CCCUCUCGAUGCCAGGCCACCUUGACGUGGUGAGGGGGCUUAACCUGCUAUGGGCGCGCUGCUGAAUUUCGGCGGCGUUCUCAUCACGGGGAACUUGGAGCCUG